AUUGAACGCUGGCGGCAGGCCUAACACAUGCAAGUCGAACGAGUGGCGGACGGGUGAGUAAUGUCUGGGAACCUGCCUGAUGGAGGGGGAUAACUACUGGAAACGGUAGCUAAUACCGCCUACCAUCAGCUGUGCCCAGAGGGGAUGAGCUAGUUGGUGGGGUAACGGCUCACCAAGGCGACGCUCCCUAGCUGGUCUGAGAGGAUGACCAGCAACACGGGAACUGAGACACGGGCCAGAAUCCUACGGGAGGCAGCAGUGGGGAAUAUUGCAAAAUGGGCGAAAGCCUGAUGCAGCCAGGCCGCGUGGAUGAAGAAGGCCGUCGGGUUGUAAAGUACUUUCAGCGGGGAGGCGUUACCCGCAGAAGAAGCACCGGCUAACUCCGUGCCAGCAGCCGCGGUAAUUC
rnacentral:rRNA from 1 species